UGGUGUUGGCACACACCUUUAUUAAUUCCAGCACUUGGGAGGCAGAGGGGAAGCCUUGUGGUUACACAUUAACACAAGUGUCCUGUGGACUCUGGGGCUGAUAACAGGGCUCACGCAAGGCCUGUUCUUGUCUGGCACUUGCUGAUAAGGUACCCAUCAGGCACCAAGGGUCACCCCCCAGCACUUAGAAACCUGGCCACCACCUCCAAAAAUGAGCCCCCUCCCCCAUAGUGGAACUCCCAUUGUCUCACACCCAGCCAAUUAUAAGGAACAAU
rnacentral:lncRNA from 1 species